UACGAAGGGGGCUAGCGUUGUUCGGAAUCACUGGGCGUAAAGGGCGCGUAGGCGGCUUUAUAAGUCGGGGGUGAAAGCCUGUGGCUCAACCACAGAAUUGCCUUCGAUACUGUAGAGCUUGAGACCGGAAGAGGUAAGUGGAACUGCGAGUGUAGAGGUGAAAUUCGUAGAUAUCAGGAGGAACACCGGUGGCGAAGGCGGGAUCCUGGGCCAGUACUGACGCUGAGGAGCGAAAGCGUGGGGAGCAAACAGG
rnacentral:rRNA from 1 species